GAAGAUGGGUGCAAAAAAUUUGAGAAGGCCCCAGCAAACUUCCCCUCACGUCUCAUCCGUACAUCUUUGCAGAAGACUUAACCAGGUGUCUUGAAACAACUACUGGUUAGAGGAGGACCCAGUCCUGAAGGUUUUUCAAGAAGAAACUCUGCCCAUUCCAUAGGCAGGUGGCUCCCUGCUCUGCUGUUUUGGACCUUCAAUCACUAGUGACAUGCCAGCAAUCCACAAAGUCCUAGGUGUCUCUUUUAGCUAUCAUCAUCUGAAAGACAUCUAAAAGGGUUUUUUUUAGUGUUUGAGAGCAUUAGGUUUCAUUUCUUGCAUUCCACAAGAGCGCGGAUGGAGGCACGUGGAAAAAGAACGAUAAUGAGUAGAAGAUUACGAUACAUACCACGAUUGAGUGCACAUGGAAGUUUCUAAGAGAAUUCAGAGAAUGAAGAGGAGUCUCUGUUCAGGAAGGCUUGAUGGAGAAUGUGGAAUUUGCUCAAGGCUUUUGUUAAGAUUUUGAUAGGAAAACUAUCAUAGGAAAUGGCUAGAACAGAUUUUAGAAUCAUAUAGUAUGUAUCUUGGUUCAUCUUCAAAAUCAGACUGGGCUUUGAAACGAACAGGUUUUAAUCAAAGCUGGCUUUAUAGGAGGAGUAUAAUUUAUGCACUACUGUUUUAAAACAAUUAGUGUGAGUGUGUGCGUGUGUUUUUGUGUGAUUGAGCCCAAUUAUUGUAAGUCUACACUCAUUAGAAGUAAUGUACCCAUGAAGACGAGCAAAAUAGUAUGUAGAUGUGAUCUCAAUUUAAAAUAGAAAAAUCGAUUCAAUACACUCUGUAUCAGCGCUUCAAAAAAUAAAAUGAAA